rnacentral:rRNA from 1 species
UACAGAGGAUGCAAGCGUUAUCCGGAAUGAUUGGGCGUAAAGCGUCUGUAGGUGGCUUUUUAAGUCAGCCGUCAAAUCCCAGGGCUCAACUCUGGACAGGCGGUGGAAAAUAACAAGCUGGAGUACGGUAGGGGCAGAGGGAAUUUCCGGUGGAGCGGUGAAAUGCGUAGAGAUCGGAAAGAACACCAACGGCGAAAGCACUCUGCUGGGCCGACACUGACACUGAGAGACGAAAGCUAGGGGAGCGAAUGGG